rnacentral:lncRNA from 1 species
UGCCAGCCUAAAUAAAUAUGUCUCACGAUUAUUCACAAAACCGUGUGCAACAAGACUGUGAAUACGGCGGUAAGUGCAUUUGGUCAAUUUGAGAACUUUCUUGUUUGAAGGUUUUACAAAUGUAAGUACACAUUUCAGCAUUUUUUCACUUGGUUCUGUGGGUUAACAUAUAUAUAAAUCAAAGAAUAAGUUUAACUUACCCUAACACAAACACUAACUCUAAACCGAAAAAAGAGUGGAAGAACCAACUAGAAUUGAGUAUCAGUAAGUUACUUUAUGUAAAGAAGGCAGGGAGUAAUCCACUAUCUUUAAUAUCAAUGCAAAGCACCGCGUCUAAAAAUUUACCGAAGAGAGGCGAAAGAUACCAAAACGGCUUUCAAACUCAUAAGUCAGAAAUGAUAAAUUGGAAAUGACCAAAAUACAAACAACAAUAUUCAAAACACGACAUAGAAAACUAAAUCCACGAAUCCACACGGAUGUGAUUUCUGUUGAACCGGAAAGGUAAGUAUAUCUUGCUCCAUAUAUAUGGCAUCAUUUACUAGAAAUUACAGAAGAACGCGGUUUUAUUACGACGAUUCAAGAGUCUUUUUUAUUUGUAUUGUGGUUAUCACUUUUUUAAAAAGAUGAUAACUUGUUUGGUCGACUGAUAAAAUAGUACGCUUUGAUUUUUAAAGGGAACAUCAUUUAUAUAGUUUAGUCUUUUGAAAUAGCAUACUCGAAAUACUCUAAAAAUAAACCUAACAAGAAAAUAAGAACUGAGGCCCCCAGUUUUUCUUUUGAUUAUCUGAAAGCAAACUCCAAGAUCUAUAUCUAGGAAUGGUUGAAAAUCAUAUCGGCAAUUUUCUUUCUAAUGAUAUAAAAUUGCAGUACAUUUCCCAUAUAUAAUCCUAAAUAUAUAAUAUAAAAAUAAGACGAUGUGGUACCAUUGCCAAAAAGACAUGUGUCCCCCGGAGAAAAAAUGGCAUAGACUUCUACGACUAAUAAUUUUAAAAGUGCACACCAAAACGUCGUGAUCGGUUAAAAAUGUCAUAAACAUUGGAAAAUGACUUGGCGUUAUUUUCAUUUUGGGGUACGAACAAUGAAAUUAACCGUGGUUCUUCAGAUUAAUACGUUUAUUUUUCUAUAAUAUUGAUUUAGAGUUAUUCAUUUCAGACUUCUCUUGCAUUGGAAAAAUCUUAGUGAGGAAAAUGUUCAAGACAUUAACAAGGAAAUAGAACUUAUGAACCAGGGAGAAAACAGGCUCGUCGAGUUGACAAGGAAAGACAGCAGUUUGUCCUCGCUAUCGGGCUUAAAUAAAUCACCUUCAAAAUUGUAAAAGUGACGUUGAAUCCCUUGCAAAGAAAUUCCAAAAUUGUAUACAGAGGGACUGUAACGUGUUCAUCCCAGUAAGCAGACAAGAAUGUCUUAACAAACUGUACUGCUGCCUUCGAAAACGCUUCAGCAAAACACGAAAAGAUGAUUUUCCUUUUAAGCAUAUGUUAGGAGUCCCAGUAUUGAGCCGAAUAAACGAAGCUCAAAAAAUUCUAAGACCUCGUUCAUCACUGUCAUUACUUACACGAAGUCGCAGACUUUCAACAAAUAUUAUCAGGAAGACUUAUAAAGUUUCAAAAUCCGGAUUGAUAUGUAAAUCUGAUGGUGAU